CCAACUCCCAUGAUGAUUUCGAUUGGCUCACACAUGCUUUUCGCCUCCAAGUGUAUAUGGACGCUUCCACUUUAUCUGCUAGCUCAAGCGCUUCAAGUUCAGAGCUUAUGUUCAGAUGGUCAAGUAGAUGGUUGGGGGAGAAUUUGUCUGCGGUGUUGAUAUAGCGUCGCGUUUAUGUCGCAAGUCCUUCCUCGACUUCUCAGACAGGCCUCCGGAGGGAACACAUGGAACCGGCAGCCACCACUUCUCCUCCUGACGCUGAAGCGGCUGAACAAUCCUCCUGAAUGAGCCAGGUCUCGAUGAGUUUCCCGACAUGCUCCCUUGCUCUACGUACCAAAACUCCGUCUCCUGGAAACCCUCCAGUAUCUCCUGCCAAACACAUUUCAGAAACACCCAUUGUUUCCACUUUUCUUUGAGGGGUUCUAGUCUCAGAUGAUUGCCAAAUACAGAAGCUGCAAUACAUGGUACGAGUAGAAAAUAAGAGAGAAAUGAAAACAGAAAAGAAAAACACUAACAGCAGGUUUGGUAAAGUUUGGGUCCGGGGUUAGUCCGGUUGGUUGGUGGAUUUGCUCUCCACGCAAUUGAUUAGGGUUCAAUUCUUGGGGUCAGAUUCCCUAUUUCCGGCAUGGAUGGUCUGCUUUUGACCAGCCGGGAGUGACCGGCCGGGGAGGGGAUUUGUGAGGGGUGCAUAAGCCGGCUCAGACUCUCCCCGCCGUCGAACCAAAAAAAAAAAGAAGGGUUGGUAAAGUUUUUGUCUCCUGUUUUCUAUUCUUUUUUUUUUUUUGUCAGAGUUACAAACACUGAAAAGGAAAGCAUGUUUGUUUAGUGUUUUGAUGUGGUUGUCGGUAACAGUUGCCCAGAAAAAAGUGAGAACCGUCUUCAAACAUUGUAGAAACAAAAGGCAAAAGCCAAGGUGGUUUUGCUUGUUUUCAAACAAGUUUCAUUUUCUCCUCCCUCCCACCAUUACCAAGCCACCGCCACCACCUCCGGUAACUCUCCCCACCUCCACCGGCAACCCUUCUAGCCACUCCCUCACUUGUUCUGAUUUCACAAGAAGUUCUUGAGCAUAUCAACCAAACAUGCAAGUCAUUUGUUUCUGUUUUCAACAGAAAGAUGAAAACUUGAUUCCAACCUUUUUUGUGAACAGAAAGCCGAAAACUGAGAACGUU